rnacentral:misc_RNA from 1 species
UAAAUAUAAAAAUUUUAACAUAAAUAUUUAAUAUAAAAAUGAUUAAACUUAUUUUAUGUUAAAUUCAAACUUAAUUUAUUAAAUUUAUAUUAUAUCAUUGAUCAAUGAAACUAAAUCGUACUUAGACACUAAUUCUAAGUUUUAAAAUAGAAUGGCUAAUAUUAUUAUUAUUGUCAUUAUCAAAAGAAGAUAAAUAGACAAAUAAAAUAAUUAAUUUUGGAUUUAUGCUAAAAAAAAUUAAUUUCUGAUUUUGAUUUGGAAAGUGACGAGAUAAGAAUAACAACUGUUACACAAAGAACACCGACUUUAUUAUUCGUACUUGGCUGCCCCAUUAAUUAAUUGGCCAGCAACUCACUGAUCUGUAAAAUCAUUUUUAUGUUGUUAUAGUUCAAGGAAAUAAACGAGUGAUGCAAAUUGAUCCGAAUUAAAUAAGGGUAUAAUAGGAAUUUCAUAAAUUGUAAUUUUCAAGCCUUCAAAUAUUAUUUAAUCUCUUAUAGAAUAAUAUGAAUCAAUUAUAUAUAUAAUUAUCAUAUAACAUAACUUCUAAUUGAAUUAUAAGUACAAUCGAUGAGAGAUAUAGCAUAUAUUAUACUACCAUAUAUUAAUUAUAUAGAAUUAAAAUAUGUGUAACAUUUUUAAUUAUAAUAUGUUCAUAAUUAAUUUAAGUACUAAUUGAAUUAUAAGAAGUAGAUUGGUGAAAGAUCUAGCACAUAUUAUAGUGCUAUGUACUAAUUAUAUAAUAUGCAUAGCAUGUUAAAUUAUAAUGUGUUUCAUUAUUGAUUUAAGUAUUAAUUAAAUUAUAAAGAGAAAUUAAUGAAAAUUUUAGCAUAUAUUAUAGUACUAUGUACUAAUUAUAUGGAGCUGUGGUAUGCAUCGCACAUUUAAUUAUAAUAUGUAUCAUAAUUAUUUAAGUAUUAAUAAUUUUAUAAGGAGCAAUUAAUGAAAGAUAUAACAUAUAUUAUUAUACUAUAUAGUAAUCAUACUGAAUUAGGUUAUGCAUAUCACAUUUAAUCAUAAUAUAUUCAUGAUUGAUUUAAGUACUAAUUAAAUUUUAAGGAGCAAUUGCGGUCUAGCACAUAUUAUAGUACAAUAUACAAAUUAUAGGGAGCUAAAGUAUAAAUAGAACAUUUAAUUAUAAUAUGUUUUAUAGUUGAUUUAAGCACUAAUACUUUUAUAAGAAGUAUUUGAUGAAAAAUGUUUAACGUAUUUUAUAAAUAUUCUACAAAUAAUUAUUAAAAAUGAAUGUAACUAAAUUUUAAUAUAUAAUACCUUUUAAACAUAUUUUAAAAUUUUAUUGAAAUUUUAGGUUUAAUAUAUUAAAAUUUUCUGGCUCAAUAAGUAUAAAAAUUUAUACUUGUGAAGUA